rnacentral:rRNA from 1 species
UCUUUAUUUAGUAUAUAAAAGAACUCUUUUUAUUUGUUAUAGUUGAUUAGUACUGUUAAGGAAUUGAUGAAAUAAUUUAAAUAUAAUAUAUUUAUAAGUAUACUUACUUUGUAGUACCUUUUGUAUCAGGGUUAAUCAAUUAUAUUAAAAUAUAUUUAAAUCUCGAUUUCAAAAGAGCUAAAUUAAUAUUUUAGUUAAUGUGUAAUAAUUAUUAAUAAUAUAAUUUAGGGAAGAAAUUUUAUUCGUUUUUGAGGGUAUCUAGUUUUUUAAGAGUUAAAUUUAAUUUAUUUUUAUUUCGUAAUAUAUAUAUUGUAUUAUAUUUUAUGUAAAUAGAUUAAAGAAUAUAGGGGAUAAGCUCUAUAUUGUUCUAUAAAAAUUUUAUUAAUUAAUUAUUGUAGGGUUAAAAAUAUCCAUCUUUAGUAAGUCUGUUAUAAUAUAUAUUAGAAAUUUAUUAAUUUUUGUCUUUUUAGUUAAAUAUUAAAAUAUCAGAAUAAAUUUUUAAUUUUGGGUAAUAAUGAUUAAAUUAGUAUAAAAUUUUGUUUAUAAUAUUAUUUAUUAUAUAAUAAAUUAAGGAACUCGGCAAUUAUAGUUCUCGCCUGUUUAUCAAAAACAUGUCCUUUUGAAUUUAAUAUAAGGUCUGACCUGCCCAGUGAUGAAAUUUAACGGCCGCGGUAUAUUGACCGUGCAAAGGUAGCAUAAUCAUUAGUCUUUUAAUAGAGGGCUGGAAUGAAAGGUUUGACGAGGAACUGACUGUCUCAAUUUAUAUGUUUUAAAAUUUAAUUUUUUAGUUAAAAAGCUAAAAUUCUAUUGGAAGACGAGAAGACCCUAUAGAGCUUUACAUAAUUUUAUUUAAUUUUUUAUAUAUUAAUAUUAUUAAAUGAUUUUAUGUUGUGUUGGGGUGACAAAAAUAUAUAAUUAACUUUUUUAUGUAGUUAACAUUGAUUUAUGAUUAUUAGAUCCAUUAUUAUUGAUUAAUAGACUAAGUUACCUUAGGGAUAACAGCGUAAUCCUCCCCCAGAGUUCAUAUUUACGGGAUGGGCUUGCGACCUCGAUGUUGGAUUAAGAUAAUUAUUAGGUGUAGCCGCUUAAUGUAUAGGUCUGUUCGACCUUUAAAUUCUUACAU